AAUCAACGCUGGCGGCGUGCCUAACACAUGCAAGUCGAACGCGAAAGGGGAGCAAUCCCUGAGUAGAGUGGCAAACGGGUGAGUAACACGUGGGUGACCUGCCUUCGAGUGGGGGAUAACGUUCCGAAAGGAACGCUAAUACCGCAUGACAUCCUGCUUUUGGAAAAGCGGAGAUCAAAGCUGGGGAUCGCAAGACCUGGCGCUUGAAGAGGGGCCCGCGCCUGAUUAGCAGUUGGUGGGGUAAUGGCUCACCAAGGCUACGAUCAGUAUCCGGCCUGAGAGGGCGGACGGACACACUGGGACU
rnacentral:rRNA from 1 species